CCCCUCCCCCGCCCCAUGCAGGCUGUGUGCCAGCAGCAAUUACAGAAUCACAUAUUCACGGAAGCCUGCACGUGCAGCCCACGAUCAGCACUUGGAUGCCUGUUGCCGUUGUCUGCUAAUAAAAGAAUGAACAGAAAUGACCAGAAAAGCCUGGUGGAAAAACUUGGAAACAAGCCACCCACCAGCGCUGGGCAGCUUGCUUUGCUCCUGAGCGCAGGCUGGACUCUUGGUUGCAAUGUCAUUGUGCGUACAAAUAAUGAGUACUGUUCACCACAUUUUCCGCUGGUCAAAGUUGCUCCCGGCUUCCACCCUGCUAAAUAUGAUGUCUGUUGAUGUUUCUGUCUUCCCCACGAGACUGUAGGUUCCCGGAGAUGAGGGACUUAAUUUUAUGCAUCUCUGUGAUCCUCACAGGACAGGACCUGGCACAAAACGGGCGCAGAGUAAAUGCUUGAAUAACAAUAAUGGCUAUCAUUUAUUGAGGAGGCAGCUUAAUGUAGAAGUUAUGAGGAUGAGCUCCAGAAUCACAUCACCUGGUUUUGAAUCACAGCUCGGUUUUCUUAUCUUAUCGGUGCCUCAGCUUCCUCAUCUGUGAAAUGGGCUUAUAGCAUAGCCGUCUCUCAGUACCUGGGGGGUUGGCUCCAGGAUGCCCUGUGGAUACCUAAAUCCACUGUUGAGCACAUCCUUGAUAUAAAAUGGCAUAGUAUUUGUAUAUACGCUACGCACAUCCUCCCAUAUACUUUAUUUAUUUAUUUUACAACUUUUUUUUUUGAGGCAGAGUCUCACUCAGUUGCUCAGGCUGGAGUGCAGUGGCAUGACUCAGCUCACUGCAACAGGCUUUUUUUUUUUUUUUAAACAGAGACAGGGGCCAGGUGCAGUGCCUCAUGCCUGUAAUCCCACCACUUUGGGAGGCAGAGGCGGGCAGAUCACCUGAGGUCAGGAGUUCAAAACCAGACUGACCAAGAUGGCAAAACCUCGUCUCUACUAAAAAUACAAAAAUUAGCUGGGUGUGGUGAUAUGUGCCUGUAAUGUAAUCCCAGCUACUCAGGAGGCUGAGGCAGGAGAAUCACUUGAACAUGGGAGUUGGAGGUUGCAGUGUAUGCCACUGCACUCCAGCCUGGGCAACAGAGUGAGACUCUAUCUCAAAAAAUAAAUAAAUAAAUAGAGACAGAGUUUUGCCACUUUGCUCAGGCUGGUCUUGAACUCCUGGGCUCAAGUGAUCCUCCCCACCUUGGCCUCCUAAAGUGAGGGGAUUACAGCCGUGAUCAACCCACCCAGCACCUCCCAUACAUUUUAAAUCAUCUCUAGAUUACUUAUAACACCUAAUACAGUGUAAAUGCCAUGUAAAUAAUUAUUAUACUGUACUGAAUUUUUAUUUAUAUUUUUUCAGUGUUGUAUUGUUAUUCUUUAUUAUUUAUUUUUUCUGAAUAUUGUUGAUCUGUGGAUGUGGAACCCACAGAUACUGCGGGACAACUAUACCGCCUUCACGGGAUCAGGAAGGGGAUUGAAAGACUGUGGCUGCCAACUCUACCUUGGCCUCUGAUUAUCCCACCCCUGCUAUUCAUUC
rnacentral:lncRNA from 1 species